rnacentral:rRNA from 1 species
AGGACGAACGCUGGCGGUGUGCUUAACACAUGCAAGUCGAGCGGUAAGGCCUCUUCGGGGGUACACGAGCGGCGAACGGGUGAGUAACACGUGGGUGACCUGCCCUCAGCUCUGGGAUAAGCCUGGGAAACUGGGUCUAAUACUGGAUAUGACUGCGCAUCGCAUGGUGUGUGGUGGAAAGUUUUUUCGGCUGGGGAUGGGCCCGCGGCCUAUCAGCUUGUUGGUGGGGUGAUGGCCUACCAAGGCGACGACGGGUA